CAAACGCCAUCACAAACGAAGUCCCAAACAGCUUUUCGAUUAGGUAGUGUUUAUUUGAAAAUCGAAAUCGAAAUCUGAAUCUGAUACACAACAAUCACAGAGUUAUCAAUAAUAUAAAAUGUUAUUCCACGAGCAACUCGACAUUAAAUUGAUACGUGCAGUGAAAGCGAACCCUGUGCUAUAUGACCACAAUCAUGAAAAAUACAUGGACUUCAACGAGCGGGAAGUGACUUGGCAGAGAAUUGGCGAUGAGCUUAAAAGUUCCGCUCCGGACUGUAAAGUAAGAUGGAUAAACAUCAGAGAUGUGUACAGACGAAUUCUAAGAAAAGGCUUAGAGUCCGGGCAGCAGCGUCCAAAACUUUACAAGUAUGAAAAUGAAAUCUCAUUUUUGAGGCCUUACUACAAAGAUGUGUCAAUCCAGCUCGAAGAAUUUGAAUCUGAUGACAGAAGUAACCAGGGGAAUGAUGAUUGUGGUGAUGAAGGUGUGUUCGAAAGUAAUAAUUCUGAUGAGGACUCCUCAGAAUAUUUAAUAGAAAGGAAGCCGAAGAUUACUAGGUCUAAGUCCAGUAAGAAGAAGAGAAGGAAGAGAUUUACCGAAGCCAUUGUUGAUCCAAUGAGUACCCCUACAUUUAACGAGCCUACAAUCCCUAUAGAAUUCGAGUCAUCCGAUCCCGUUGAUGCUUUUUUACUUAGCAUUGGCGCAACAUUGAAAACGUUUUCACCAUAUCACCUAAACUUGGCAAAGAGCAAGAUAUUCUCGAUCGUCCAAGAACACGAUUUACAGCAAAUAGUUCAAAAAGAAGAACAGAGCGAGGCGCCGAAACAUGAUGUUAAAAUUUCUUCGAGUGAAGCCAUUUUUUUGUAGUAUGUAAAUGAAAGUGGUUGGUGCAAAAAUUAAGUUAUUUCAUGCAGUUAACUUCGCUGCUUUAGGUUAUUAUGAUGACAUUGAACGCAUUCUAGAGCAGUUGGUAUCUUUUGCUCCUAAGGUUCUGUGCCUGAAAAGUGCCAACAAGAUUUUAUUACUAAGCCUUCGUUGUCUGUCUGUCUGUCAGCGGUAAAGAGCUUAUAUAGCGCCGCGGUGUUGCAUUAUAGAAAAUACUAUGAAUUUUUCGGUAAAAUCUCGUGGUUGAAAGUAUGUUUCCGUGUUUAUCAUUAUUAAUGUAUUUGUUUAAGAAAAACUGAUUUAUUUGUAAGAAGGUUGUAGUGAUCUUCAUUGAAGGUGAAAAGAAUGUUGUCAUAAGAAGUUAAUGACCUAUAAUUUCAAGGAGAAUAUUAGAUAAACUUAGUAAUUAAAUAGCAAAAACAGUCGUAUACCUAUUGUGCUUGUAAUUACUAUAAUUAAAUAUUAUACAAUU